rnacentral:rRNA from 1 species
AGAUUGAACGCUGGCGGCAUGCCUAACACAUGCAAGUCGAACGGGAGUAGCAAUACUCUAGUGGCGGACGGGUGAGGAAUACGUAGGAAUUUGCCCUUAAGUGGGGGAUAACCCGGGGAAACCCGGAUUAAUACCGCAUGACCUCGAAAGAGCAAAGUGGGGGAUCGCAAGACCUCACGCUUUUGGAGAAGCCUACGUCGGAUUAGCUAGUUGGUGAGGUAAUGGCUCACCAAGGCGACGAUCCGUAACUGGUCUGAGAGGAUGAUCAGUCACACCGGAACUGAGACACGGUCCGGACUCCUACGGGAGGCAGCAGUGGGAAUAUUGCGCAAUGGCCGAAAGGCUGACGCAGCGACGCCGCGUGGCGGGAGGAAGGU